AAUACUUGCAAGUCGAGCGGACAGAUGGGAGCUUGCUCCCUGAUGUUAGCGGCGGACGGGUGAGUAACACGUGGGUAACCUGCCUGUAAGACUGGGAUAACUCCGGGAAACCGGGGCUAAUACCGGAUGCUUGUUUGAACCGCAUGGUUCAAACAUAAAAGGUGGCUUCGGCUACCACUUACAGAUGGACCCGCGGCGCAUUAGCUAGUUGGUGAGGUAACGGCUCACCAAGGCAACGAUGCGUAGCCGACCUGAGAGGGUGAUCGGCCACACUGGGACUGAGACACGGCCCAGACUCCUACGGGAGGCAGCAGUAGGGAAUCUUCCGCAAUGGACGAAAGUCUGACGGAGCAACGCCGCGUGAGUGAUGAAGGUUUUCGGAUCGUAAAGCUCUGUUGUUAGGGAAGAACAAGUACCGUUCGAAUAGGGCGGUACCUUGACGGUACCUAACCAGAAAGCCACGGCUAACUACGUGCCAGCAGCCGCGGUAAUACGUAGGUGGCAAGCGUUGUCCGGAAUUAUUGGGCGUAAAGGGCUCGCAGGCGGUUCCUUAAGUCUGAUGUGAAAGCCCCCGGCUCAACCGGGGAGGGUCAUUGGAAACUGGGGAACUUGAGUGCAGAAGAGGAGAGUGGAAUUCCACGUGUAGCGGUGAAAUGCGUAGAGAUGUGGAGGAACACCAGUGGCGAAGGCGACUCUCUGGUCUGUAACUGACGCUGAGGAGCGAAAGCGUGGGGAGCGAACAGGAUUAGAUACCCUGGUAGUCCACGCCGUAAACGAUGAGUGCUAAGUGUUAGGGGGUUUCCGCCCCUUAGUGCUGCAGCUAACGCAUUAAGCACUCCGCCUGGGGAGUACGGUCGCAAGACUGAAACUCAAAGGAAUUGACGGGGGCCCGCACAAGCGGUG
rnacentral:rRNA from 1 species